rnacentral:rRNA from 1 species
AUUGAACGCUGGCGGCAUGCCUUACACAUGCAAGUCGAACGGUAACAGGUCUUCGGAUGCUGACGAGUGGCGAACGGGUGAGUAAUACAUCGGAACGUGCCUAGUAGUGGGGGAUAACUACUCGAAAGAGUGGCUAAUACCGCAUGAGAUCUACGGAUGAAAGCAGGGGAUCGCAAGACCUUGUGCUACUAGAGCGGCCGAUGGCAGAUUAGGUAGUUGGUGGGAUAAAAGCUUACCAAGCCGACGAUCGGUAGCUGGUCUGAGAGGACGAUCAGCCCAACUGGGACUGAGACACGGCCCAGACUCCUACGGGAGGCAGCAGUGGGGAAUUUUGGACAAUGGGCGCAAGCCUGAUCCAGCGAUGCCGCGUGCAGGAUGAAGGCCUUCGGGUUGUAAACUGCUUUUGUACGGAACGAAAAGCCCUGGGUUAAUACCCUGGGGUCAUGACGGUACCGUAAGAAUAAGCACCGGCUAACUACGUGCCAGCAGCCGCCGUAAAAC